GCUGCCCACACCGCAAGCAGAGCGGUCUUUUGGAAACAGGAUGGACCAGCUGCCCUCCUAGCUGAAGCUCUCACGAUCCCCGGGAACUGGCAGUCACUCUGUCACCCCCUAGGACCGUGCACACUGUGCUUUUGGAGAUCUGGCCCCACCCACGGCUUUGCCUUGGGUUAUUUUUGUCUCCUCAAACAAGGAUAUCAAAGGAAGCUGGUGAAAGCUUCCCUGUACUGUCAACCAGAGCAGACAGACGGACAGAAGGGACAUUCUGUCCAAUUAUCCAGAAGAGACUGUACCCCCUAGGGCCUGAGAUGCCCUCCCCCAGUCCCAGGGACCGGACUGCAAAUGGCAAAUGCUGCCUGGAGAAGUCUGUGGGCAUCAGGUCUGGGCUCUGUGAGUACAAAAGCAGGCGGCCGAGCAAUGGGGGUGGGGCGGGGUGGGAGAAAAGACUCUGUUCUCCCAUGGAGGAGCUGUGAGAGCCCUGCAGAUUCAUGGUGAUAAGGAGCUUAGAGCAGAGCCCACGAUUGAUCUCUCUGCCAUCUGAGGGAUUUGCAGACUUUGAGCGGGCCUGGGGCUAUCUCCGUGUUACAGCCUCCUUGGGACUGUGUGGAUGAGCCUUAUCUGAUUCCCGGGGGAAAUCAUUUCGAGGAAGCCAUGCCAGGAUGUCUCACAAGGCCUGCUGUCUCCCAGCAGGGGAAAGCUGCCCUGGAAGGAAGGAAGUGGACCUCACCCGAAUAUGACACUCUUCCUCUGGAAGGAUCAGAGGCCUUGUCCUCUGUGGGGUCAGCACCAGGGCACAUUGGAGAUGCCACGCCCUUGCUGUGAGUUCUACAGCUUGAGUCCCAACUGAUAGAAUAUGCCCUGAGCCGGAAAGCCCUUAGCACUUGGGGUACAUUAGUGGGGACAUCCAGACAUCCUGCCUGGAGUUGCCCUUGGCUGCUCUGCUGGACCCCACCUGCAGCUGCUAAGUGAACAUAGGCCUUCUAUGAGCUCAGUGUGCAGGAGAUGUCACAGUCACCCUGGCUAUUAGUGACUCUGAUCAAAGAGCCCAACGGUGGCCCAGCCCACAUGCUCAUGUGGUAGAUUCCUGUCCACCACUAACCCUGAAAAGAGCAAUAACAGGAAGAUGUCAUUCUGCUAUCAAAACCAGACAGUCCUGACCCCAGCAAGGGAGUGACAGUCAGAUGCUGCUAGAGGACAAGAAUUCCUGCCUCCAAGCUACAUUCCUCCUGCAACUUCAAGGCCAGGCUGUAGUGGCCAUUGCCCGCCCCGUAGCACUUCAGUCUGAGAUGGAUCAGUAUGGCAGUGAUACAUCCACACCCCAAAGUGGCACACAUUUCUGGGUAAGAAGAUUUCUCCAGCCUCGCUCCCAGCAGAGGCUGAGAUGAUAUUUCCAGCUUUGUUGCUAUGUCAACUCUCAGCAGCGACCCGCGUCUUGCAUCGGAGCCAAGGCAGCCCAUCCGUCAGCUCCUUGCUAAAGCACAGCGGAGGACCUGCUGUGCUCUGUGGUGAACCUGCCUUGGAUAUCUGAGCUGGGCACAUGCUCUGGACUCUAGGAACUGGAUGCUGGGCACAGGGCACAGCAGGGUGGUCUCCCACUGAGUCCUCCCUAGAGAGGACAGGAAAGAAAUGAACAGGGUCCUUGUGACCAACAUGUGGGGCCUGGACAGCACUGCUCAGAGACAUAGCCAGGUGCUGCGGGAGACCCUGGGCAGGAAGGGAAGAGACCAUGGAAGGAAGGACCCUGGGAGGCUGAACUCCAGGGCAGAGAUUGCAGAGGCAGCCUGGAUUAUAACGAUGGCUUUCCAGCACACUAGCACAGCUCAGGGGCAGACCUUGAGUCCAUCGCACACUUGGCAGGUCCCCAGGUCUGUUUUGACCAUUUUGCAUGAAUGGGCCUGUUGAAUUCUACAACAAAGAAGACAUAGAUUCAUCACUAUCAUCAUUUCAUACAGAAGAAACCAUUCCCAGGAUGCCUAGGUUCACAGAGACGGAAGUUGAGACCCAUUUGCCAAUAUUAUCCAAAGUGGGUGGGACAUGAGCCAGGUCACCUAGUUUGUCAGCUCGAUGAGUUUGGGGUCUGUGAGAGCACUGGUGGGGUGCACUUCUGUGGAGCUGGGGUGAUGGAGAAGUGAUCCUGGGUACUUUACAUGGUCCCUUGCCCCUUCCUCUCUGGUCCUCUCCUCCUCCUCUGCUCCCUGGCAGCCAUGAACUGAGCAGCUCUGCACCCCCAUACCCUUCUGCAUGACUUUGCUACCAUGGACUGGGUGAUCUGAAACCGUGAGCCAAAUUAAGCUUUUCCUCCUUUAAACUGUGAGUGUGGUGGGCCUUGCCCCAGUGAUGGAAAGGCUGCCAGUGUAAUCCUGUUUCCCAGCAUAGGAACUAGGCAUUGGAGCCACCAGGUGCACACAGUCCCACAUCACAGGAGCAGCUGGGGGCUGCACAGUGAUGCAGGCAGAGAUCGAGGGUCAAGUGAACUCUGGAUGCUUAGGGGUUAAGGCAGCUGGGCUGACAGGGCAGAGCAGAUGGCAGGCAGAAGUGCAGGCAAAUGGGAAGGACAGCAGAGGGGAGACAGGGAAAGAGCCUGGAGUCCAGGGAAACAGGGUCUCUGGGAGACAGGUGGAGAAGCUAUGGGGUUAUGGGGAGAGUGGCGUGAGGCAUAGAUUCCGGGUGACAUGGAGUCUCGGAAGCUGAGGGAUGAGAAUCUGGCCAGUGGAGGUUGUAUUGGGACUGGGAGAGCCCAGGACGUCAUCCUGAGAGUGUCACCUUCUCCCACAAGGAGGGGCAGGUGGGGGAGGGGCUGUGGAGAACAGAGAGGGAGAGAGGCCAAGAAGCACCCCACCGCUGCAGGCCUCUUAGGGGGAACAGGACUCCUCCUUUGGGCUCUGUAGGUUUAGUUCUUGAGGUCUGACAGUGUCACGUGCAUGAGCAGGGCCAUGUCUUCUCACCUGUGGAACAGGACUGAUGAGAGGCAGCACAUAAGGACCCCAUGGGGCUGCUGAGCAGAGGUGAGGUGGCUCACUGGGGGCUCUGUGACAAGGAACAUGAGGAAGCUGCAGUGUUGUCAGCAGGGCCUUGGUUGUCCUGGGUCCCAGGCAGGUCCCAUACCACCAUGGAAAUGAGGCUCCCAGGGACCAGGUAGUGCCAAGAAAUCCUCUCGGGGUGGAGGGUCUGGGUCCCCGUGAGUGGACUCUGGAGAAGUGCAGAGAAGUAGUUCCAGCACGGGGGCUACCCUGGCUCUGGGUUCCAGGUGGUGCUCUGCUUACCCUGAGAUGUGCCUCUAUGGGUACAGGAGACCCACAGCAUGCAGACAUGGAAACUAAGGUGCUGGCUGCAUCCCUAGCCCAGACUAAACAAGGGGAAGGCAUCUUGAACUGAGGAUCUGUGUAAUCCCCAAGACAGAUAGAUAGACAGACACACAGUUCUUUGGCUACCUCAGUGCCACAGAGGGACAGACUGACCCCACUGCCCGCUGCCUUGAUGUUUCAGCUAUUUUUUGUCUCUAGGAUAAAAUAUCCAACACCCACAAGUUAAAGGAAUGAAGUUUAUUUUGACUGUCAGUCUGAGGAGGUUUCAGUCCAUAGUGGCCAGCUCCAAGGCAGGGCGGCAUGGCAGAGGCCAGAGGAGAAACAACCCAAGGCAGGGCAGGCAGGAGGUGGCAUCAGCAUUGCAGUGCGCCCCUUUCUUUCUGUCCCUUAAUAUUCCCUCCAGGCUACAAGCCUAUUGAUUGAUGCCCCCGUAUCUAGGGUGGGUUACACACACACAGAACUGUGCUAAACUAAUUUGGUUGUCAUACACCCUUAAUUUGAGUAUCACAUGCCCUAAUCCAUGUCACACAUCCAUGAUCCAGCCAUCUCCCAAAAGCCUUGCCUAUGCACACAUGAGGCUUUCAGGGGACAUCUACAUGCAAACCUUAACAUUUGGUCACUGAGGCUGAAUGCAGGAGGCCAGCAGAAGCAGCGAGCCAGUUACAGAGGGAAGGGACUCUGGAGUGUUCAGGUGGAUGGGGAGUCCUGAGGUCAGCACAGCAGCUUCCUGAUAGACUCCACAGGCCAUGCCUUCCUGCCCGGAUCCCUUUCUCUACACAGCCUGGGGCGCUCCUCUCACUGGGAUGCAUCUGGUAGACAGCUACCAAACAACACAGGAUCUCUCUCCCCUGGGGUCCACUGGUCUGGAGAUGCCACACCAAGACAGUGCCUGGGCUCUGACACCAGGAUGCUUCUCUCAUCUGCAGAGCCACAGGCUCAGUAUCUAAUGCAGCAACCACCAUGUAGAGGCCUGGGGUCCUACAAGUAAAUGGGGACCAUUCCAACCCUGCAGUCCUGCACCAUAAUUCACUGGGGUGCAAACUCAUAGAUGAUGAGGGACAUCAGUUCCUUGGACACCAGGGAGUGCCUGCUCCAUGAAGAAGCAGCUACCAGGAAUUCUUUGACACUGGCAGCUUUUGUUAAGCACACAGCCUUGAACCCCUUCCCAUCCUGCCCAUAGCUGAUGUGGCAGAGGUGAGGAGACCAUGGGCGUGCCCUGCCUCUGGGUCUCUCCUGUGUGGGUUUACAUGACCAGUGGUAACAAAGCCCCGGGCCUGGCAGCCUAACUGUCUCACAUCCCGAGACCUAGAAGGCCAAGGCCAAGGGGUGGACAGUGCUGGUUCCUUUGAGGCCUCUCUCCUGGGCUGUCCACGCUGUUUUCUUUCUGAGUCCUCAGUGGUCUUCCUGCUGGGUCCCACUCUUCCCUCCUUAUAAGAACACCAGAUUAUUUAGGGAUCUCUGUUGAGAAGACUCUGUCCCAAACACACUGAUCUCUCAAGUGCAUCAGAGCUCCAGUGUGUGGGGUUUGACAGACAUGAGUCAGUCUGUGAUGCUCCUCCUUCUCCACUCAGGUCCUGUGUGAUGCUCCUCCAGUCUCACCUCUGCCUCCUCCCCACACUGUCGCUUUGACAUCCAUCCCAGGACCAGAUCUGGGGACACUGGCAGCCCUGGCACACACCAGCGAUGCGAAGGUCGCCUCCUUUCUCUCCCUGUUCCUCUUGUUAGAGAAACCUCCCUAAACUCAGGCGGUGCUUAUCAGGGCUCAGGGUUUCCUGCAGGGAUCCGGGAUGGCAGCCUGCAUGGCGACCGUUCCCACCCAAGCACCUCCAGUUUUGGUUAGAAAGCGAUGCCGAGGCCUAGGCGGGGCGGGAGGGAUGGGGAAGCCAUCCCCAGCCGGAGCGCCAUCCCCAGCUGCUCUGGCUCUCCAUCUUUAGUUGGCUUUAUUAGUGGCUUUAGUUGUUUAGCAAGAUACAUGUGUUUCCGUCUGCCAAAGGAUAGCUCCUUCGUAGUCCUGGGGGGAAUCUCAUCCCAGGGCUGCCACAAGUAGUAAUUUUGAGGUGUUUUUAAUGCUUCUGAGUAUUAAACUUUCAUACUGUUUUUAAAAAUUCA